rnacentral:tRNA from 1 species
GGCAAGAUGGCCGAGCGGUCUAUGGCGUGUGACUCAAGCGAAAGCUUACCUCUUCUAGAGGUCGUAUUCUCAUGGGAGUAUUCCCGCGUGGGUUCAAAUCCCACUCUUGUCA